GACGAACGCUGGCGGCGUGCUUAACACAUGGAAGUCGAACGGGAAGGCCCUGCUUUUGUGGGGGGCUCGAGUGGCGAACGGGUGAGUAACACGUGAGUAACCUGCCCUUGACUUUGGGAUAACUUCAGGAAACUGGGGCUAAUACCGGAUAGGAGCUCCUUCUGCAUGGUGGGGGUUGGAAAGUUUCGGCGGAUGGGGAUGGACUCGCGGCUUAUCAGCUUGUUGGUGGGGUAGUGGCUUACCAAGGCUUUGACGGGUAGCCGGCCUGAGAGGGUGACCGGCCACAUUGGGACUGAGAUACGGCCAAGACUCCUACGGGAGGCAGCAGUGGGGAAUAUUGCACAAUGGGCGGAAGCCUGAUGCAGCAACGCCGCGUGCGGGAUGACGGCCUUCGGGUUGUAAACCGCUUUCGCCUGUGACGAAGCGUGAGUGACGGUAAUGGGUAAAGAAGCACCGGCUAACUACGUG
rnacentral:rRNA from 1 species